rnacentral:rRNA from 1 species
CUGCCGGUGACAAACCGGAGGAAGGCGGGGAUGACGUCAAGUCAUCAUGGCCCUUACGGGUAGGGCUACACACGUGCUACAAUGGCCGAUACAGAGGGCGGCGAAGGGGCGACCUGGAGCAAAUCCUUAAAAGUCGGUCGUAGUCCGGAUUGGAGUCUGCAACUCGACUCCAUGAAGUCGGAAUCGCUAGUAAUCGCGAAUCAGCAUGUCGCGGUGAAUACGUUCCCGGGCCUUGUACACACCGCCCGUCACACCAUGGGAGUGGGUUGCACCAGAAGUAGAUAGUCUAACCUUCGGGGGGACGUUUACCACGGUGUGGUUCAUGACUGGGGUGAAGUCGUAACAAGGUAGCCGUAGGGGAACCUGCGGCUGGAUCACCUCCUUA